AAUAUUACAAAAUCAAUACCUCUUUCAUUUCUCAGAUCACAGAAAAGAAUACGCUUACACUAUUACACAUUUAAUUCUGACUUUUGAAAAAUAUAAAGUAGUCAUGAGUCAUUGUCUUUCUCGGCGUCUUCAAGACACCACAAAAAUAUUAAAAAAGGGAAAUUAACAAUAAUAACUCUUUUGCGUUUAUUGGAAAACGGACUGAUGACUAAAUGUGUCAAUAAAAAACCAUGAAACAUUCGAGUCGCCCAAUCUCCGUUUAUGCCGUUCGUGGCACAUUGUAUAAGAGCUGAAGACUCUGUUUUUCCUCUUACUCUCUUAUCUCUUUUUUUCACUCAACAAUCUCUGUAAUCAAGUAACUCUAUAAGAUUAUUCCCUACGUACUAUAGUGUAUUCUUUUUACUGUGUCUCUAUAGUCUUAACAUUUUUUACUAAGUAUAAAACGUACAUUUGUUAAAAUAACUAACACUUUGCUUAAAAAUAUAUGAGCUUAAAUAAUUCCCCUAUAAUUCUCUUUUAUUAACUUACGUACUAUAAUUUUAAACAACACUUAAAAACUACAAGUCAACAAACGAGAAUCUAUCAUCAUCAGUGGAUAUCAGAACCAAAAGAAAUAGAAUAUGGUCUUGAACUCACUCUCGGUAUCAAUAGCACUGAAGCUAAUUGGAAAAAUAUCACGUUAAUGAUUUCAUGACCAGAAACUAUACACCUUUAAAGGAUUUGGAAUUAAUAUUAACUUUAAUUUAUAAAAAAUAUACAAUAGGUGUAUAACUAUCUUUUGCUUAACAUUUUUUUAAAAUUAUUUCGAAUUAAAAAAAUUUCUUCCUACCACCCCCUGCCACUCAUCUAAUGCAUUGACUUCUUGUGACGUAUAACUAUACACUAUUACUAUAAAAAAAAAACCACCAUAAAAUAUUUAUUUUAAAUUCUAUUUUUGCACUUGUUUAAACAAUUUAAAAUUUUUAAGCUUAUUACAAUAAUGAAAUGAAUUUAAAUUUAAUCAAUAUAUAGUUUUAUAAAACAUUUUCAAUGAUUUACAAACUUAUUAAUCACUUAAUCGAAAAAUAAAAAUACAUUUUUUUUUUUAUUUGGACAAGUCUCUUAUGCAAACAAUAAUAAAUAACUCGGUAAAUGUCAAGCAAAAUUAAUUUUUCGCAUAAAAUUAUGGAUAACUACGCUAAUAUUUAAACAUAUUAAAAAAAAAACUAUUUAAAAAUUUUAUUUUUCCUUGUGGAUAGGGUAUAAGAAUACUUCCACUGCCCCUCUGCCAGUCGUAAGAGGCGACUAAUGAGGUUGCGUUAGGUCGACAGCCGACGUAAAAUUUUUGUCAAAUAGUAGAGAUGUCCUGAACGAAAUUUAUGUGAAUUGUUCCAUCUCGGAUGUACGUGGGGACAACAGGUGAGAGGGAAUAAUGUAGUUAAAAACGGAGAAGGCCUAAGGUUAUUCCUGUGUUUGACACCAGCCGGACAACUUGUGCGAUAGCUGUUUACCAGUUAUAUGUUCAGGUCUACCCAACGCUUGUAGUGUCAAUGGUGUAGGGAUAUCACCACUCAACUCUAGGCUGGACUCGUGUUUAAGGGGGAAAGAUAGAUACAAAGUAAGAAUAGGUACUUGGAAUGUUGGAACAUUAACUGGUAGAUGUAGAGAAUUAGUAUUGAAGAGAAGAAAAGUUAACAUUUGUUGUGUGCAGGAAACUAAAUGGAACGGAGAGAAAUCGAGGGGAAUAGGUGAGGGUUAUAAAAUAAUAUACUCAGGUAAGUCCAGUACAAAGAAUGGUGUAGGGAUAAUGUUUAUGUGUCCAGUCUGCCCUCCUGUAGUAAUACGUGUGUCACUGUGUCAACCAUAUAAGCUUAGUUGGGGUUAUAAUAAUAAUGUAAGAUUUUAUCGCAUAUAUGUGAUCGUAUCAGCUGCUCCCGCUACAUUUUAGGCCUGACCUCAGACCUUAACAAAAUAAAACAAUUUGAGAUAAUAAUAAAAAAAAAUUUUAUCUGAAAUAAAGUUAUUUGGAGAGAUAUUAACAUCUUAGUAACAAUCUCUAAAUCUUCGAUGUCCACGCUCCUAAAGCUUUUAAGCUUUGAAGGAGUUUCCAUCACGUGGGCUCUCAAUUGUCGACUACCAAGCGGGGUUCAAUGAGAAAUUGUAUAUUUUUUAUAAAUUAAAGUUAGUAUUAAUUCCAAAUCCUUAAGCCCGUGUACGAUCCUACAAAACCAGACCGUGGAUCGUAUACCAAGACAUUAAUGACUUGUACAGCUGGGCUAUGAGUCAGUCUAUACCGUACGGCGGGUUCCGGUGGUAUGAACGCAAAGACGCCAUAGCCGAUUUAAACCGGUUGUCCGACACCGGCAGAAUAUUUGAAGUCGACGUAUCCUAUCCCCAAGAGAUGCACGACGGUCAUAACGAUUUACCUUUUUUGCCUGAAAACAACGUACCGCCCGGAUCCAAAACGACUAAACUUAUGGCCACUUUGAAACCUAAACGGUGGUACAUUUUGCACUAUGUCAACUUAAAGCAGGCCAUCGCUCACGAGCUGCCAGUCGAAAAAUUAACGAUAAUUUGCAUAUAUAUAUAUAUUAACAUACGAGCAUAUUACAUUUUGCAGAUCCACCGCAUUUAAAUGUUUAAACAGAGCGUUUGACUACAAUCGUAUAUUGCUUUAAAUACGGAAAUGAGGAAAAAAGUGGUCAAUAACUUCAAAAAGACUUUCGAUGCGAAGCUGAGCAGACUCUUUCAUGUAUAUCAUUCGGGCUAAAAACUAUUACCGAGACUUGGUCCGGACAUACUGCGUCAUUGGACACGUCGAACCUGCCCAAAAAUCAUCCCAGCAACUCAAUCGUCCGCGACAAGGUGCCUGAUUUUUUUUUCGGACGAGACGGGUGAUCUUAUGCUUUAUGAAUGGGUAGCGCUUUGGUCAAAGUGCUGCGCUUACGACUUAGAGGAACGGAUCAAGCCUAAAGGAAUACGUAGGCAUAUCGUUGGAAAUCAUUUGACGUUGGAUGACUUCAAACGGUGUCUAUUCCAAGACGAUGAUGAGAAUGACAACGACAGCGAGUUAAAACGAUUUUUAGUUGGACAAAAUGGCCACGCGGUCAACGAGGUUAUACGUAGAGACGAACAUCCACAAACAUCAUCGUUACCGUACACUCCGUACAGGUUCGCAUUUUGUGAACAACAAAGUUAGCGGUUAAUCGUCACGACGACAACCGCUAGAUCUUGAAGAACAGAUUCGAUACGUUAGCCUACGGACAUUAUGCCAUACCACAGUGAGAAAUUUGAUCUUCAUUAGUUUUUAUAAUAAUAAGAUUGUAAAAUUUUUUUUUGAAUAUUUACUAUGUAUAUAUAAAAUGUAAAAUAUAUUUUACGCAAAUCAUAUAAUUUAAUUAUAUGUUAUAGUUUUUUGUAAAUAUAAGUAGUGUAUAUUUUUAAUUGUUGUUA